CGGGUGUAGCUCAAUGGUAGAGCUCCUGCCUUCCAAGCAGGCGGUGCGAGUUCGAUUCUCGUCACCC
rnacentral:tRNA from 1 species